rnacentral:rRNA from 1 species
CCCUUAGAUGUCCGGGGCCGCACGCGCGCUACACUGAAGGAAUCAGCGUGGCUUUCUCCCUGACCCGAAAGGGUUGGGAAACCCGUUGAAUCUCCUUCGUGGUAGGGAUUGGGGCUUGAAAUUGUUCCCCAUGAACGAGGAAUUCCCAGUAAGCGCGAGUCAUAAGCUCGCGUUGAUUACGUCCCUGCCCUUUGUACACACCGCCCGUCGCUACUACCGAUUGAACGGUUUAGUGAGGGCCUCGGAUUGGUCUCGGCCCGCUCUUUACCGGGCGGCGCCGUUGGUCGAGAAGACGCUCGAACUUGAUCGUUUAGAGGAAGUAAAAGUCGUAACA